rnacentral:tRNA from 1 species
UGGGUUGUGGCUCAGUGGUAGAGUGGAGUGCUCGCCUAGCAUGUGUGAGGCCCUGGGUUCGAUCCUCAGCACCACAU